rnacentral:rRNA from 1 species
UACAGAGGUCUCAAGCGUUGUUCGGAUUCAUUGGGCGUAAAGGGUGCGUAGGUGGCGCGCUAAGUCAGGUGUGAAAUUUCGGAGCUUAACUCCGAAACUGCAUUUGAUACUGGCGUGCUUGAGGACUGGAGAGGAGACUGGAAUUCAUGGUGUAGCAGUGAAAUGCGCAGAUAUCAGGAGGAACACCGGUGGCGAAGGCGGGUCUCUGGGCCGAUACUGACGCUGAGGAGCGAAAGCGUGGGGAGCAAACAGG